rnacentral:snRNA from 14 species
GUGCUUGUCAUGGCAGUAUAUACACUAAAAUUGGAACAAUGUAGAGAAAGUUCACACGGCCCUAUGGAAGGAGGACACACAAAUCUUUAAAAAGGAAAAAUGAUGC